rnacentral:rRNA from 1 species
UACAGAGGGUGCGAGCGUUGUUCGGAAUUAUUGGGCGUAAAGGGCGCGUAGGCGGCUUUUUAAGUUUGGUGUGAAGUCUCCCGGCUCAACUGGGAGGGUGCGCCGAAUACUGAGAGGCUAGAGUGUGGGAGAGGAAAGUGGAAUUCCUGGUGUAGCGGUGAAAUGCGUAGAUAUCAGGAGGAACACCGGUGGUGUAAACGGCUUUCUGGACCAUAACUGACGCUGAGGCACGAAAGCGUGGGUAGCAAACAGG